rnacentral:tRNA from 1 species
GCCUUCGUGGUGUAGUGGUCAGCGCACUCGGCGCUGAAUAUCUCGUGUAUUCGAGAGGUCCGUGGUUCGAAUCCCGGCUAGGGCA